rnacentral:rRNA from 1 species
GAUGAACGCUGGCGGCGUGCCUAAUACAUGCAAGUCGAGCGAACAGACGAGGAGCUUGCUCCUCUGACGUUAGCGGCGGACGGGUGAGUAACACGUGGAUAACCUACCUAUAAGACUGGGAUAACUUCGGGAAACCGGAGCUAAUACCGGAUAAUAUAUUGAACCGCAUGUUUCAAUAGUGAAAGACGGUUUUGCUGUCACUUAUAGAUGGAUCCGCGCCGCAUUAGCUAGUUGUUAAGGUAACGGCUUACCAAGGCAAGAAUGCUUAGCCGCCCUCAGAGGGUGAUCGGCCACACUGGAACGGGAACACGGUCCAGACUCCUACGGGAGGCAGCAGUAGGGAAUCUUCCGCAAUGGGCGAAAGCCUGACGGAGCAACGCCGCGUGAGUGAUGAAGGUCUUCGGAUCGUAAAACUCUGUUAUUAGGGAAGAACAAAUGUGUAAGUAACUAUGCACGUCGUGACGGUAACUAAUCAGAAAGCCACGGCUAACUACGUG